UACGAAGGGGGCUAGCGUUGCUCGGAAUCACUGGGCGUAAAGGGUGCGUAGGCGGGUCUUUAAGUCAGGGGGGAAAUCCUGGAGCUCAACUCCAGAACUGCCUUUGAUACUGAAGAUCUUGAGUUCGGGAGAGGUGAGUGGAACUGCGAGUGUAGAGGUGAAAUUCGUAGAUAUUAGGAAGAACACCAGUGGCGAAGGCGGCUCACUGGCCCGGUACUGACGCUGAGGCGCGAAAGCGUGGGGAGCAAACAGG
rnacentral:rRNA from 1 species